UUUAUGGAGAGUUUGAUCCUGGCUCAGGAUGAACGCUGGCGGCGUGCCUAAUACAUGCAAGUCGAGCGAACUGACGAGGAGCUUGCUCCUUUGACGUUAGCGGCGGACGGGUGAGUAACACGUGGGUAACCUACCUAUAAGACUGGAAUAACUCCGGGAAACCGGGGCUAAUGCCGGAUAACAUAUCGAACCGCAUGGUUCGAUAGUGAAAGACGGUCUUGCUGUCACUUAUAGAUGGACCCGCGCCGUAUUAGCUAGUUGGUGAGGUAAUGGCUCACCAAGGCAACGAUACGUAGCCGACCUGAGAGGGUGAUCGGCCACACUGGAACUGAGACACGGUCCAGACUCCUACGGGAGGCAGCAGUAGGGAAUCUUCCGCAAUGGGCGAAAGCCUGACGGAGCAACGCCGCGUGAGUGAUGAAGGUCUUCGGAUCGUAAAGCUCUGUUGUUAGGGAAGAACAAAUGUGUAAGUAACUGUGCACAUCUUGACGGUACCUAACCAGAAAGCCACGGCUAACUACGUGCCAGCAGCCGCGGUAAUACGUAGGUGGCAAGCGUUAUCCGGAAUUAUUGGGCGUAAAGCGCGCGUAGGCGGUUUUUUAAGUCUGAUGUGAAAGCCCACGGCUCAACCGUGGAGGGUCAUUGGAAACUGGAAAACUUGAGUGCAGAAGAGGAAAGUGGAAUUCCAUGUGUAGCGGUGAAAUGCGCAGAGAUAUGGAGGAACACCAGUGGCGAAGGCGGCUUUCUGGUCUGUAACUGACGCUGAUGUGCGAAAGCGUGGGGAUCAAACAGGAUUAGAUACCCUGGUAGUCCACGCCGUAAACGAUGAGUGCUAAGUGUUAGGGGGUUUCCGCCCCUUAGUGCUGCAGCUAACGCAUUAAGCACUCCGCCUGGGGAGUACGGUCGCAAGACUGAAACUCAAAGGAAUUGACGGGGACCCGCACAAGCGGUGGAGCAUGUGGUUUAAUUCGAAGCAACGCGAAGAACCUUACCAAAUCUUGACAUCUUUUGACCACUCUAGAGAUAGAGUUUUCCUCUUCGGAGGACAAAAUGACAGGUGGUGCAUGGUUGUCGUCAGCUCGUGUCGUGAGAUGUUGGGUUAAGUCCCGCAACGAGCGCAACCCUUGAGCUUAGUUGCCAUCAUUAAGUUGGGCACUCUAAGUUGACUGCCGGUGACAAACCGGAGGAAGGUGGGGAUGACGUCAAAUCAUCAUGCCCCUUAUGAUUUGGGCUACACACGUGCUACAAUGGACAAUACAAAGGGCAGC
rnacentral:rRNA from 1 species